CCUACGGGAGACAGCAGUAGGGAAUCUUUCACAAUGGGCGAAAGCCUGAUGGAGCAACGCCGCGUGCAGGAUGAAGGCCUUCGGGUUGUAAACUGCUUUUAUAAGCGAGAAAUAUGAUGGUAACUUAUGAAUAAGGAUCGGCUAACUACGUGCCAGCAGCCGCGGUCAUACGUAGGAUCCGAGCAUUAUCCGGAGUGACUGGGUGUAAAGAGUUGCGUAGGUGGCAUAAUAAGUAGCUAGUGAAAUCUGGUGGCUCAACCAUUCAGACUAUUUGCUAAACUGUUAAGCUCGAGACCGUUAGGGGUAACUGGAAUUUCUAGUGUAGGAGUGAAAUCCGUAGAUAUUAGAAGGAACACCAAUAGCGUAGGUAGGUUGCUGGGACGGUUCUGACACUAAGGCACGAAAGCGUAGGGAGCAAACGGGAUUAGAUACCCCGGUAGUC
rnacentral:rRNA from 1 species